AGGUUUCUUAGGCUCUCAUCCUGCUUCCAACAGUUUAUUACCUUUUACACGCACCGUCUUGGCGACGUCUGCCACGGGAACGGAUUCAAACAAUUUCCAUUACCAACAGACACGACCACCCUUAAUGUCGUAAUGGAUAACACUCGCACGUUUUAUUCUAUUUUAUUAAUAUCAAAUAGAAAUAGCCAGCGAACGAGGAAAUUCGGAGUUGCAAAUCGACGCAAUGCAAUAGGACGACGCUUAAACCUUGAAACGUUGCGUUCUAACAGUACCUCUAAUUGUAAAAUUUGCACACGGUCGCUAACAAGAUCACGCGCAUUGUUGGACGUCUCUGCCAUAAAUUAACACGACGGGAGAAUCGAGAGAGAAUGCACAUUGAUUCGAAUCAAGUAAGGACCGUGUCAUUCCCUUCGCAUCCACUGAGCCUCUAACGGGGAAUACUGAUUCGAUCAUUAUGCAACGAUCGCACGCUAAACACCCCCUUAAACGCGUGGCACUUUGCUUUGCUCGUCUUCGUUCGCAGAAACGGCGCUCGCAUGUUUAUCGCGAAUUCUUGGCUUUUACUUAAUUUGUUACCACGAAACUGCGUGAUACGCUUCGACACCGUUAUCGGCGCCCACCAGAGAAUAAAAUCUCUUCUUCCGCGUCUAAGAUAAUUCAUCGUAUAAUAUAAUCGUUUUCUUACGAUACAAUUUCAUGUUCCAGCUUGGAAUUUAAUAAUACGAACGAGAUUAGAAUUUUAAAUAUCGAAUUAAGUAAUUUAAUUUGAAGUACAGCCGGAGGAGUUUUCCUAUUUUCAUUUUUUUAAUUGGCUCCUUGUUCAUGAACAUGUAUACUAUAUAAAUAAUAAGUGAAAGGAUAUGUACUUCAGGAACAGAUAAAUAGCAUUAUGAGAUCCGAUAUGGAUUAUUCAUGUUACAAUUUCAAGAAUGCAACGCGAUAUCCACUGUUAUCAAAAGCUGUACAGAUGAAAUAAAUUGUUUAAUCGCUGCUGUAAAUACGAUGUCGAUCAUUGUAUAAUGAACGUCCGCAGUCUACUUAUGAACUUAUGGCAGCGGUUCCCUCGCAUCUCCUUUCUCCCGUUCGUCAGUAGGCCAGCCAGUGGGACAUUCCCGGUUCGAAACAGCUUUCGAACGCGCUUAUUCCCCGGGUGAAGUGGCCCCGGGGGCCACGGAGAAGCUUCCGAUUUCUCGAAUGCAACAGCUGCCAUCAGCGAGAUCUAUCGAUCGGUGAGCAACGAGAGAGAGAAAGAGAGAGAAUGGGCCUUCUCCUUUUCUAUCUAUGCGUGCACGGGAGGAACGGCCCCGCGACCUCGCUUUCGCGAGACCCGCGAAAUUUCCGUGCCCAACCUCCUCUUUUUUUACCCCUACUGGGUGUCCAGUUUUAAAUAAUUUCAUUUCGAAGCUGAUCGUAUCUUAACGAUUCAUCGGUACAUUUUAUAAUUCACUGAAUCAUUACAAUUAUUGUACCGUGUAAUCAUAAUUGACUAUCUAAUCACGUGUUAAACUUUCAGUGGAAACAGCAAGCAAAAAGAAUAAUAAACAUCAAAUGAAUUGCACAUAUCACUUGGAAGGCAAUUUGAGAAGCUGAAACGAUUUCGUCGAAUGUACACAAGUUUUCCUGAGGUAUAAAAAAAAUCUGUUUGCAACACGGUUAAAGCGACAGAGGCUUUGAGUGUAUCGCAUCGAGCCAGCAUCCUUUCUAUUUAUCAAUCUCAAACUGAAACGCGUACCGGAAUUAGCGGUUCGCACAAACGGGCGUCGAUACGCGCGUAUGUGGUAAGUAAGCAGAAAUGAUCGCGGUAGUGGUUCCAUUUGGUGAAAGUGGUUUUCCAUAAACGUUUCUUUAAUUCCGACAAAUUACUUGGCUCGCGCGUCGAAUCUCUGUAAACCCGCAAUUUUUUUUCAAUCUACACUCCUUCUACUAAUAAUCGUAUUAGCGAUCCUAAAUAUCUUCCAGUCAAUUUAUCAUCACGUUUGACCGAAUUCUUUAAAUUGCAAAAUCAAUUGCUUGGAUAUUUUUCAUUCUUAAACAUGAAACCAGUGAAACUGUAUUAUACUUAAAUAGAGAAGACGAUAUUAACUAUCAUAUAGAAGAUUGAUAGAGUGAAAGUAUUCGAAUGUACAUUAAAUCUUAUUGUUGCACUUUACGAGAGUCGCUCGAGGGCCUCUAUUGAUAGUCAUGCUAAUUUUGAUGGGUUCCCUGACACGUGACAGUUAUGAAGAUUCCUUUUCACUUUUUAAUCACUGCUGCGGGAAUCGUGGCGCAUAGCUGAUUUUCUAUUUUGUUAGAGCUCACGUUGAUGCUCGUUCAAAAAUUUCUCUAAGUGGGCGUUCGUCCGUUAAACGUCCCAUUAGCGAUGUCCAUUAAUAAUUCCUGCCCCGGAGCCAAAGUUGGUCUAUUCUAUUUUCCAAAGUCUAUUCCAGCUAAAAUACCAGAUACGUUCUGGAAAGUAUAAACUUAUUACUUUAAUGAAAGUGAUCAUAUAUUAUCCUGUAUCAUUACUAUAAAGAAUAUAUUUCUUUUAUUACCCAGGAACGAAACGCUAUCCUAUAAUUAUCCUGUAUUUCCUUCUCACAGAGUACAUGUAUUCAUGUGUCUAUUUGUUUUAUUUUUAAGAAGGGAUAAUUAUAUUAAAUAUGAGAAUUUGGAAAAAGAUUGAUGGUAAUGAAGCCAGAAAAAGUAACAGGAAUUGCAAAACUAGAUUGUAUCCAUCGAGAUUGACUGAGAAUAAGAAGCGCUGGUUCACAAUGAAUUUCUCCCACGUGGCCGUUCUUCCCCAUGGCGGAAGCGGAUGCAGAGAAGCAGUUUCUUCAACCAUUCUGUUACAUCGUAUGUACACACGCCAGGAGAAUCAAGAGUAAACGUCUUAGGAAAAGUGAGAUUCACUCAACUAUUUUCUAUCCGUCAAUAGUGUUGCCAUAUCAAAAUGAUUGUUUGCCUAUACUUGAAACGUUUCAUAGCAAUUUCUAAUUUAAUCUAAACGAUAACAGAGAUAUGGAAGGUAAUCGUAUUUACUUUUGAUUCUCACUGUAUGCACUUACGUGCAUUGACUUCUACCAAGAAUCGCCCGUUUAGGCUGAUAGCUGAUCAGAGGACGACAGAAAAGGGAACGAGUCCUUUUCUCAGCGCUUCUUUCGCUUCCCGUAAUGAAGCUGUAUUAAUUAAUUAAACUGUUCAACUAUAUGGUCAUUCUAAUCGUUCAUCAAAUACUAUGCAAACUACGAAAUAUAUAAGAAUUCGCAUUUGCCCCGUGACGACGAUGAAACUAUUCAGACGACACGGGAAGGACGUCGAGUAUUUGAAAAAAAAACAGCGUGGAAACGCAACGACGCAUUCCAUUGAAAAUCGAAGGACAGAAAGAAAGAGCUAUUCGAACGCACGUUUCUCUCUUACUGACAAUGAGACUAGAUAUUAAUAAAAGACCUAACACCCGAUGAACUCGAAAAUGAUAAUUGCGAUUAGAGAAAGCUUUGAUUAAUGUUACAUUUAUUACUACGCUCAACACACUUAUGCAAAUGUUAUAAGCAGAUUUCUUUUACUGCGAUAGGUAAUAAGAAAGUGACAUACUCGUUUGAAAAAAUCCGAUACCGUAUCGUUUCGCUCACAGACAGUUACAAAUAGACUAGAAUUGAUAACAGUACAGCUCGAGUAUCGGUUCUGUUCAAGUUUGAACGCAGUAGGAAUCUCGAGUCCCGAAAUAUCCGGGGUAAGGUCUCGAAACCGGAAACGUGACCGUUGAUCACGCGCUUCUAGCAUCGCAAAUAAUUCCAAUUGAUUGAUCGACGAUUAUUUAAUUCAUCAAACUAACUCAAUCGUUUAUCAGUUUCAAAAUGUCUGAUCAUAAUAAUAUAAACCGGACACCGGAUUCUACAAAUUAAC